CCUGAUGCAGCGACGCCGCGUGAAGGAAGAAGGUCUUCGGAUCGUAAACUUCUGUCGUCAGGGAAGAAGAUAGUGACUGUACCUGACUAACAAGCCCCGGCUAACUACGUGCCAGCAGCCGCGGUAAUUAGUGCCAGCAGCCGCGGUAAUAA
rnacentral:rRNA from 1 species